ACUACAAGCGUCCCCCAGCAAAGCUGCACCGCCAUUUCCUGUGCUUGGGAACUGAAGGCAAGGCGAAGCCCGCAGGAGAGGCGCCGCGGGAGCAGCACAAGCAGGUGACCGCGGUCCUCUCUUCUCUGGUAGACAUGGUGGAGUGGUGCUCUCAAUCCAUCACGACCCUUUCACGUGGAACCACUUAGCCCUUAAAAGGGCCAGGAACUCUGUCUUCGGGGAGCUGGGCUCUUAAGACACCAGUCGGCCAAUGCUCCCGGCCGAAUGAAAAAACCUCUUCCUUCUUUAAUCCGGUGUCUGAGGAGUUUUGUCUGCCGCUGGUCCUGUUACAUUUCUUGGUUCCCUGACUGGGAAACGAGGUGAUUAACGGACCGUUGAGGCAGCCCUUUAGGCCGCUUAGGCCUGCCCUGUGGAGCAUCCCUGCGGGGGACUCCGACCAGCUCCAGCAACGCGGAUCCUGAGAGCGCUCCCACGUAGGAAAUUGCCCCGGUGGAACGCCUCGUCAGAGCAGCGCGUGGCAGGCCCCGGUGGAGGUUCAACGCAAUGGCUGAACACCGGGAAGGAACUGGCACUGAACAUCUGGUCUGGACAUCUGAAACUUGGAGAUCGAGUAUGGAUCAAGGACUGGAACGUAGCCUCUUUGUGCCCACGGUGGAAAGGACCCCAGACUGUCAUCCUGACCACUCCCACCGCUGUGAAGGUAGAGGGAAUCCCAGCCUGGAUCCACCGCAGCCGUGUAAAACCUGCAGCGCCUGAAACCUGGGAGGCAAGACCAAGCCUGGACAACCCUUGCAGAGUGACCCUGAAGAAGACGACAAGCCCUGCUCCAGUCACACCCGGAAGCUGACUGGUCCACGCAUGGCUGAAGCAUGAGGAAGCUCAUCGUGGAACUCAUUUUUCAUAAAUUUUGGACUUGUACAGUAAGGACUUCAACUGACCUUCCUCAGACUGAGGUAGGGCAAAAAGUUAAAACAGUCUUUGUUUAAAAGGGACUUGUGUGUAUAAUGCCACCCAGUACAAGGUAUGCAGCCCAGGAAGUGACCAGACUGAUGUGUGCUAUAACCCAUUAGAACUACUUAAUCCCCAUUGGAAAAGAGGAGAGUAUGUAACUCUAGGAGUCAAUGGAACUGGACUGGCAGGAAGAUCUGGGUAAUGUAGAUGAGAGUGAGAACUUCCACUAGUGAGUGAGGUUCUCAAAGAGGGGAAUGAGGAGAUAAGCCAUUUCUCUUACUGUCUCCUGUCUCUGAAGAGGAGGAGGAAGAAAAAGUUGUAAAACAGCAGGAAUGAAGUCAGUGCCAAGACCAGCCAGUGCCACUGAUGACCCAGCCUGAGGUUAAAAGAUUAACCAUCCCCCCCACACCGCCCCCUCCGCCCGCCCACUCUAACCACAUGUGCUUUCAAUCCAUCACGACCUUUUCGCAUGGAACCCCUUAGAGUUAUAAGCCUUUAAAAGGGCCAGGAACUCUGUCUUUGGGGAGCUCUGCUCUUAAGACGCGAGUCUGUCAAUGCUCCCGGCCAAAUAAAAAAACCUCUUCCUUCUUUAAUCCAGCAUCCGAGGAGUUUUGUCUGCAGCUCGUCCUGUUACAGUGGUAUGUAAUUGUAGUUUUGAUACACUUUUCCCUAAUGACUAGUGCUGUUGAGUGCCUUUUCAUGCACUUAUUGUCCACUUGUAUAUCUUCUUUGGAAUAAUAUCUGUUCAAGUCCUUCCCAUUUUUUACUUGUGGUUUUUUUUGUUUGUUUUGUGUUUUGAGAUGGAGUCUCAUUCUGUCACCAGGCUGGAGUACAGUGGUGCAAUCUCGGCUCACUGCAACCUCCACCUCUUGGGUUCAAGCGAUUCUCCUGCCUCAGCCUCCCUAGUAGUAGCUGGGAUUACAGGUGCCCACCACCACGUCCAGCUAAUCUUUGUAUUUUUAGUAGAGAUGGGGUUUCACCAUGUUGCCCAGGCUUGUCUGGAAUUCCUGACCUCAGGUGAUCCGCCCGCCUCAGCCUCCCAAAGUUCUGAGAUUACAGGUGUAAGCCACUACAAUUGUGUUUUUUUUUGUUGUUGUUAAAUCUUAGGAGUUCCCUAUAUAUUCUAGAUAUUAAUCCCUUAUUAGAUACAUGAUUUUCAAAUAUUUUCAUCCAUUCUGUAGGUUGCCUUUUAAUUUUGUUGGUAGUGACUUUUGAUGCAUAAAAAUUUUAAAUUUUCAUGAAGUCUAAGUGGUCUAUUUUUUCUUCUGUUGCCUGUGUCUUUACUGUCAUCCAAGAAAUCAUCACCAAAUCCAAUGUUUUGAAGCAUUUGCUCUGUGUUUUAUAGUUUUAGGUCUUACAUUUAGGUCUUUGGUCCAUUUUGAGUUAAUUUUUCUAUAUGGUGUAAGGAAAGGGCCCAACUUUAUUCUUUUGCAUGUGAUUAUCUGGUUUUCCCAGCACCAUUUGUUGAAAAGAUCAUUGUUUCCACAUUGAAUGGUCUUGGCACUCUCUCAGAAAUCAUUUGACCAUGUAUGCAAGUGUUUAUUUCUGGGUUCUCUAUUCCAUUCCUUUGGUCUAUAUGUCUUUAUGCCAGUACCGCACUCUUUUGAUGACUGCAACUCUGUAGUGAGUUUUGAAAUCAGAAAGUGUGGGUCCUUCAGCUUUGUUUGUCUUUUUGAAGAUUGUUUUGGCUAUUUGGGGUCCCUUGAGAUUCCAUAUGAAUUUUAGAAUGAGUUUUCCUCUUUCGGCCAAAAACAUCAUUGGGAUUUUGAUAGGAAUUGCAUUGAAUCUAUAGAUCACUUAGGGUAGUAUUGACAUCUUAACAAUAUUACAACUUCCAAUCUGUUAACACAGGGUGUGUUUUUGUUUGUUUAUGUUUUCUUAUUUCUUUCAACAAUUUUUUUUUUUUAAUUUUCUUUGUACAAGGCUUUCACCUUCUUGGUUAAUUCCUAAAAAUUUCAUUCUUUCUGAUGCUAUUGUGGAUGGAAUUGUUUUCAUAAUUUCCUUUUCUGGUUGUUCUUUGUUAGUGUACAUAAAUGAAACUGAUUUUUAUGUGCUGACUUUGUAUCCUGAAAUUUUGCUGAAUUCAUGUAUACUGUGUGUAUGUGGAAUCCUUGGAGUUUUCUUUCUUUCUUUUUUUUUUUUUUUUGAGAUGGAGUCUCGCUCUGUCGCCCAGGCUGGAGUGUAGUGGUGAGAUCUUGGCUCACUGCAGCCUCCACCUCCCGGGUUCAAGCAAUUUUCUGGCCUCAGCCUUCCGAGUAGCUGGGAUUACAGGCAUGAGCCACCACACUGGCCCAUCCUUGGAGUUUUCUACAUACAUUAUAUCGGCUGUGAACAGAGAUAGUUUAGUUACUUCUUCCUUUUCAAUUUGGAUAGGAUACGUUUUAUUUCUUCUUCUAGCCUAAUUGCUCUGGCUGGAGCUUCCAGAACUAUGUUGAAUGGGAGUGGCAAAAGCAGGCAUCCUUGUCUCGUUCCUGAUCUUAGAGGAGCUAAAACUUUUAGUCUUUCACCAUUGAGUGUACUGUUCACCGUGGGAUUUUCAUAUAUGGCUUUUAUUAUGUGAGGUAAUUUUCUGCUCUUGCUAGUUUGUGAGAGGGUUUUUUGUUUGUUUUUUUCACAAAAAUGUGUUGGAUUUUGUCAAAUGCUUUUUUAUUUUUUUCAUCUAUUGAGAGGAUCAUGUGGUUUCUCCCUUCAUUUUGUUGAUAUGGUUUAUACAUUGGAUCAGUUCUUUUUUUUUUUUUUUUUGAGAUGGAGUCUUCCUCUGUCAUCCAGGCUGCAGUGCAGUGGCGUGAUCUUGGCUCACUGCAAUCUCCACCUCCCGGGUUCACGCCAUUCUCCUGCCUCAGCCUCCUGAGUAGCUGGGAUUACAGGUGCCCACCACCAUGCCCGGCUAAGUUUUGUAUUUUUAGUAGAGACAGGGUUUCACUGUGUUAACCAGGAUGGUCUCGAUCU
rnacentral:lncRNA from 1 species